rnacentral:rRNA from 1 species
AGCUCCAAUAGCGUAUAUCAAUGUUGCUGCAGUUAAAAAGCUCGUAGUCGGAUAUGUGUCCUGUCAAGCUCGAACCUCUAUCAUCGUGUAGUUGGUCUCGAUUCGCUUGCGGGGCAUCUUUCAAGUGAUCACUUCUGCCCUUGAAUGGGUUGGUUGUGUGAUCUUGAACUUUUACUGUGAGUAAAUGAAAGUGCUCAACGCACGCUCACUGCAUGCUUGGAUCUUUUAGCAUGGAAUAAUAAGAUAGAACUUCGGUUCUUUUUGUUGGCUUCCAGGACCCAAGUAAUGAUCAAAAGGGAUAGUUGGGGGUGCUUAUAUUUAUAGGGUACCGGUGAAAUGGGAUGAUCCUAUAAAGAUAAACUAAUGCGAAAGCAUUCACCAAGGAUAUUUUCUUUGAUCA